rnacentral:rRNA from 1 species
AUGGACUGCCCCAAGCGGAGCGCGAGCGCCGUCCUCCCCGAAGACUCCUUGGUGGAGAUCCUCGCGCGCGUCCCCGCCAGGUCCGUCUACCGCUCCAAGUGCGUCGCGAAGGCCUGGCGCGACCUCAUCGAAGACCCCCUCCUCCGCAAGAAGCUCCCCCAAACCCUACAAGGCUUCUUCUUCAUUGACAAGGAGACCCACAGGCAGCGUGUCCGCUUCACAAAUCUGCUUGAUAGAUCCGGGCCUCUCCAGAUCGACCAUAACCUCGCCUUCCUGAAGGAAUCGCCCGGGAUUGGGACUCUCGACUUCUCCGAUUCCUGUAACGGGCUCCUCCUCUUCGAGCACAAACUGAAGGCAUGGCCAUAUGACCUAUUGGGCUAUGUAGUGUGCAACCCCACCACGAAGCAAUGGGCGGAGGUGCCAAGAGACGGCCCUCCGCUUCCGUUGUAUCUUCGGCACCCCAAAAGAUACAACUAUUUGGUUUUUGAUCCGUCCGUCUCCUCUCACUUCCACCUGGUCCAGUUCACGUGGGAGUUUGUGCGCUUGGUGAAGUUUGAGGAGGAGUUAGUGGUUGGUCAUGAUGAUGAUGAUGAGGAGGAGGAGGAGGGCGAUGAGGAGGAGGAGUUGUCCCGGACGUCAGUGCACGUCUACUCCUCUGAGACUGGCAAGUGGACUCACACGCAAAGUGACUGGAGUCAAAUCCAAAGUGGCUGGAACAAGCAUGAUUUGGAAGGAUGGCGUCUUCAGGGCUUAAUACCUGAGAGCUUCUGCUGUGCUGUUCUCAACAGCAUGCUGCAUUUCAUAAUUUCGGAUGAAGGUCAGAUUGCUGCUGUUGACAUGCAAGGUGUGACAAGAAAGAUCAUCCCAGUGCCGACGAUGGCCGAGAGGCUCCACUGGCUGGAGCCUGGUUAUGUUGCCCAAUCCCAAGGGCGCCUGCACUACAUCAGUCAAGCAGUUGAUGGUCGACUGUCCAUCUGGGUUCUGGAGGGCUAUGAUACACAAGAAUGGGUCUUGAAGCAUAGUGUGAGCUUUACGGAGCUGUUUAGAGAAAAGAGACGCACAGGCGACACAAAAGACUACAGUGUGGUUGCCAUGCAUCCAGAUGGAAAUGUGGUUUUCAUUGUUCAAGAUUGGAACCGAAAGCUGAUAUCAUAUCACAUGGACAAUAAGCUAGUGAGUAUUAUGGGGACAUUAAAAAAUGAUGCUUCAGAUGUGCAUGUUGUACCUUAUGUUCCCUGUUUCUCCGAGUCACCGGCACUUGAAAACAAGCACUGA